rnacentral:rRNA from 1 species
UACGUAGGGUGCGAGCGGUAAUCGGAAUUACUGGGCGUAAAGCGUGCGCAGGCGGCUUUGCAAGACAGAUGUGAAAUCCCCGGGCUCAACCUGGGAACUGCAUUUGUGACUGCAAGGCUAGAGUACGGCAGAGGGGGAUGGAAUUCCGCGUGUAGCAGUGAAAUGCGUAGAUAUGCGGAGGAACACCAAUGGCGAAGGCAAUCCCCUGGGCCUGUACUGACGCUCAUGCACGAAAGCGUGGGGAGCAAACAGG